rnacentral:rRNA from 1 species
CGGACGGGUGAGUAACACGUGGAUAACCUACCUAUAAGACUGGGAUAACUUCGGGAACCGGAGCUAAUACCGGAUAAUAUAUUGAACCGCAUGGUUCAAUAGUGAAAGACGGUUUUGCUGUCACUUAUAGAUGGAUCCGCGCCGCAUUAGCUAGUUGGUAAGGUAACGGCUUACCAAGGCAACGAUGCGUAGCCGACCUGAGAGGGUGAUCGGCCACACUGGAACUGAGACACGGUCCAG